AAAAGGACAAACCCUAGGUUUUCUUGUCCAACGUUUGACUGCCCGUCUUAUAUGAAAUUUUUUUUAUAAUUAGUAUUUUCAUUGUUGUUAGAUGAUAAAAAUACUGCCCGUCUUUUUAAUUUUUUUCAUAAUUUUUUUAAAUAAAACGGACGGUCAAACGUUGGACACAGAAACCCAGGGUUUGUCUUUUU
rfam:Oryza glumipatula chromosome 3, whole genome shotgun sequence.